rnacentral:lncRNA from 1 species
UAUGUAAGUACUGCUGAUUGGUAUUUGAGAUUUGUUGUAUCUUGGGCCAAAAUGUCUAAAGAGGCACAAGAUAUAUUUGCAACUAGAGAAAGACCUUUAACAGCACAUCGUUGUUCAACUAUAAGCAUUAUUAUGAAUAAUAUUUAUUAUGUUCUUACUGUUUGUUUAUGCCAUUUAAAAACAUUUAGAUGUAAUUGCAUCUUCUAUGGUUGCCAAGUAUUCUAAAUUGUUUAUAGAUGAAUAUGAUUCCACAGUAAUUGGUAGGGGUCAUGACAGUUUAACGUUACAAUUAGUUAACCAUUAUGACUAUCUGUGGCAGCCAAACCGUGUGCCACUGUUAUUGGGUGUUUUAAAUUUGGAAUCCCAAGAGGGGUCCCAAUUAUUAGUUGAUGUCAAAAAAACUGAUAGUUAUGGUUACUUAAACCGAGAACCAGUUCUCAGUGUUUCAAACAGCCCUGAAGAACUCGAUUACUAUUUACAAUGAACUAAAAUAAAUGGAAAGAUCUUGUCAAAUGAUUUGUUGAUAAAAUUUUCCAAUUUCUUUACAAUAAAGUUGAUGGUUUGCAACAUCACUUUGAUGUUUUGAUGUGUGGAGUGAAUGCUGGUGAACUCUUGAUAAAAGCAUUAGAUAAUGAAAAAUUUAAGUGCUUUUUUCGGCAUCAAUCCUGAAAAAGGGAGCAAAUCAAGGCAAACGAAGAAGACUUCAUCAAUAAGCAAAAUUUUGCUGAAAAUUUUGCUCAAUACUGCAGAAGUUUGCAAGAUUUAACAAUAUUUGAAUUUACCAU